UUCCAGCGGCUCCAUUCUUUGCUAUAUACAUCUCCUGGUUCUAGGAUUUAGUAGGUUGCUUCUUGUCUCAUCUUGUACCGGUCUCUGGUUCUGUGCUCUUCUGUUGUGUUGAGGUUGUUCUCUGUAGGGCCUUAUCUUCAUGUAUGGUUCCUAUUACGAGCUUAAGGGCAUGUUUGGGAAGCCUCCAGCUUCCCAAAAUCCUUAGAUCCAGCUCCGUCAGCCCAACUCCAGCGUCUGGACUGGAGUAGUAAACGUUCGGGAUAGAUUCACUCUUUCUUUUUCUCGGUCGUCUUCCCCCAUUAUCACGGGAUUUCCAAUUCCUCUCACCACCAGAUAUUCCCUCCCAUCGAGUCAAGGUCGGAGGAGCCCUUCGACGAGGAGAUCGAGGGAGCGGAGGCCGGAGAAGCUGUUGCAAGAGUCGAUCUUGGAGGAGGACGCCGGCAGGCUCGUGGAGGCGCGUGUGAAUCGGGCUGAGCUCGAGUGGAUGGGCUUGAUGACUGCUGCCAGGUGUGGCUCGGGCCUGGGUCGUUGAUGUAGAUGAUUCCAGUGGAUGCGGAAGGAGGCGGCGUCAGGUUGGAGGCCGGGAAGAGUAUGGAGGCCGCGGCGGGGGAGCUCGGGCGGACAGGCGGCUCCGGUGGCUCGGGCAGACGGCGAGCUCGGGUGGACGGACAGCUCCGGCGGCUCGGGCGGACGGCCAGCUCCGGCGGCUCGGGCAGACGGCGAUG